CUUAGGCGUGUGACUGCGUACCUUUUGUAUAAUGGGUCAGCGACUUAUAUUCUGUAGCAAGGUUAACCGAAUAGGGGAGCCGAAGGGAAACCGAGUCUUAACUGGGCGUUAAGUUGCAGGGUAUAGACCCGAAACCCGGUGAUCUAGCCAUGGGCAGGUUGAAGGUUGGGUAACACUAACUGGAGGACCGAACCGACUAAUGUUGAAAAAUUAGCGGAUGACUUGUGGCUGGGGGUGAAAGGCCAAUCAAACCGGGAGAUAGCUGGUUCUCCCCGAAAGCUAUUUAGGUAGCGCCUCGUGAAUUCAUCUCCGGGGGUAGAGCACUGUUUCGGCAAGGGGGUCAUCCCGACUUACCAACCCGAUGCAAACUGCGAAUACCGGAGAAUGUUAUCACGGGAGACACACGGCGGGUGCUAACGUCCGUCGUGAAGAGGGAAACAACCCAGACCGCCAGCUAAGGUCCCAAAGUCAUGGUUAAGUGGGAAACGAUGUGGGAAGGCCCAGACAGCCAGGAUGUUGGCUUAGAAGCAGCCAUCAUUUAAAGAAAGCGUAAUAGCUCACUGGUCGAGUCGGCCUGCGCGGAAGAUGUAACGGGGCUAAACCAUGCACCGAAGCUGCGGCAGCGACGCUGAUGCGUUGUUGGGUA
rnacentral:rRNA from 1 species